rnacentral:rRNA from 1 species
GUGGGGAAUCUUAGACAAUGGGGGAAACCCUGAUCUAGCCAUGCCGCGUGAGCGAUGAAGGCCUUAGGGUUGUAAAGCUCUUUCAGCUGGGAAGAUAAUGACGGUACCAGCAGAAGAAGCCCCGGCUAACUCCGUGCCAGCAGCCGCGGUAAUCCGGAGGGGGCUAGCGUUGUUCGGAAUUACUGGGCGUAAAGCGCACGUAGGCGGAUCAGAAAGUCAGAGGUGAAAUCCCAGGGCUCAACCUUGGAACUGCCUUUGAAACUCCUGGUCUUGAGGUCGAGAGAGGUGAGUGGAAUUCCGAGUGUAGAGGUGAAAUUCGUAGAUAUUCGGAGGAACACCAGUGGCGAAGGCGGCUCACUGGCUCGAUACUGACGCUGAGGUGCGAAAGCGUGGGGAGCAAACAGGAUUAGAAACCCUGGUAGUCC